rnacentral:rRNA from 1 species
UGGGGGAUAUUGCACAAUGGGCGAAAGCCUGAUGCAGCGACGCCGCGUGGGGGAUGAAGGCCUUCGGGUUGUAAACUUCUUUUGCUCUGAACAAGGCGCACCAUGGGGUGUGUUGAGUGUAGGGGUUGAUUAGCGCCGGCUAACUACGUGCCAGCAGCCGCGGUAAUACGUAGGGCGCGAGCGUUGUCCGGAAUUAUUGGGCGUAAAGGGCUUGUAGGUGGCUGGUUGCGUCUGUCGUGAAAGCUCAUGGCUUAACUGUGGGUUUGCGGUGGGUUAGGUCUGGCUUGAGUGGAGUAGGGGAGGCUGGAAUGCCUGGUGUAGCGGUGGAAUGCGCAGAUAUCAGGAGGAAUACCGGUGGCGAAGGCGGGUCUCUGGGCUGUUACUGACACUGAGGAGCGAAAGCAUGGGGAGCGAACAGG